rnacentral:rRNA from 1 species
CGCCUGUUUAUCAAAAACAUGUUUUUUUGAUUUAUAAUUUAAAAUUUGACCUGCCCACUGAAUAUAAUUUAAAGGGCCGCGGUAUUUUGACCGUGCAAAGGUAGCAUAAUCAUUAGUCCUUUAAUUGUGGACUGGAAUGAAUGGUUUGACGAGGUAUUAACUGUCUCAUUAAAUAAUAAUUAGAACUUAACUUUUAAGUCAAAAGGCUUAAAUUUAUAUAUAGGACGAGAAGACCCUAUAGAGCUUGAUAAUUUAUUUUAUAUUAAAUAUUUUGUGUUAAUCUUUUUUAUUAUAGAAUUAAUUAUUUUAUUGGGGUGAUAUAAAGAAUUAAUUAACUCUUUAUUAAUUAAAACAUUGAUUUAUGAUUAUUUGAUCCAUUAUUAGUGAUUAUAAGAUUAAGUUACCUUAGGGAUAACAGCGUAAUGUUUUUUGAGAGUUCUUAUCAACAAAAAAGAUUGCGACCUCGAUGUUGGAUUAAGGUAAAUAUUAGGUGUAGAAGUUUAAUGUUUUUGGUCUGUUCGACCAUUAAAUCCUUACGUGAUCUGAGUUCAGACCGG